AAAAAUAGUACAGUACAAAAGAGGAGUGCUCCAGAUACUCGUACACAAGGAGUGGGUCGGAAAGAUAUUACAAUAGAAAAUAGAAGUGCGCCAGUUACUCAUGCAUAAGGAGAGGGUCAGAAAGAUACAGUAGAAAGAAGAAGUGCACCAGAUACUCGUACACAAGGAAUGGGAUAUUACAGCACAAAAGAGAAGUGCACCUGUUACUCGUACACAAGGAGAGGGUCGGAAAGAUACAGUAGAAAGGAGAAGUU